GCGCUCGUAGCUCAACUGGAUAGAGCGACAGACUUCGGAUCUGUAGGUUAUAGGUUCGAUUCCUAUCGGGCGCACCA
rnacentral:tRNA from 1 species